rnacentral:rRNA from 1 species
GAUGAACGCUGGCGGCGUGCCUAAUACAUGCAAGUCGAGCGAACGGACGAGAAGCUUGCUUCUCUGAUGUUAGCGGCGGACGGGUGAGUAACACGUGGAUAACCUACCUAUAAGACUGGGAUAACUUCGGGAAACCGGAGCUAAUACCGGAUAAUAUUUUGAACCGCAUGGUUCAAAAGUGAAAGACGGUCUUGCUGUCACUUAUAGAUGGAUCCGCGCUGCAUUAGCUAGUUGGUAAGGUAACGGCUUACCAAGGCAACGAUGCAUAGCCGACCUGAGAGGGUGAUCGGCCACACUGGAACUGAGACACGGUCCAGACUCCUACGGGAGGCAGCAGUAGGGAAUCUUCCGCAAUGGGCGAAAGCCUGACGGAGCAACGCCGCGUGAGUGAUGAAGGUCUUCGGAUCGUAAAACUCUGUUAUUAGGGAAGAACAUAUGUGUAAGUAACUGUGCACAUCUUGACGGUACCUAAUCAGAAAGCCACGGCUAACUACGUGCCAGCAGCCGCGGUAAUACGUAGGUGGCAAGCGUUAUCCGGAAUUAUUGGGCGUAAAGCGCGCGUAGGCGGUUUUUUAAGUCUGAUGUGAAAGCCCACGGCUCAACCGUGGAGGGUCAUUGGAAACUGGAAAACUUGAGUGCAGAAGAGGAAAGUGGAAUUCCAUGUGUAGCGGUGAAAUGCGCAGAGAUAUGGAGGAACACCAGUGGCGAAGGCGACUUUCUGGUCUGUAACUGACGCUGAUGUGCGAAAGCGUGGGGAUCAAACAGGAUUAGAUACCCUGGUAGUCCACGCCGUAAACGAUGAGUGCUAAGUGUUAGGGGGUUUCCGCCCCUUAGUGCUGCAGCUAACGCAUUAAGCACUCCGCCUGGGGAGUACGACCGCAAGGUUGAAACUCAAAGGAAUUGACGGGGACCCGCACAAGCGGUGGAGCAUGUGGUUUAAUUCGAAGCAACGCGAAGAACCUUACCAAAUCUUGACAUCCUUUGACAACUCUAGAGAUAGAGCUUUCCCCUUCGGGGGACAAAGUGACAGGUGGUGCAUGGUUGUCGUCAGCUCGUGUCGUGAGAUGUUGGGUUAAGUCCCGCAACGAGCGCAACCCUCAAGCUUAGUUGCCAUCAUUAAGUUGGGCACUCUAAGUUGACUGCCGGUGACAAACCGGAGGAAGGUGGGGAUGACGUCAAAUCAUCAUGCCCCUUAUGAUUUGGGCUACACACGUGCUACAAUGGACAAUACAAAGGGCAGCGAAACCGUGAGGUCAAGCAAAUCCCAUAAAGUUGUUCUCAGUUCGGAUUGUAGUCUGCAACUCGACUACAUGAAGCUGGAAUCGCUAGUAAUCGUAGAUCAGCAUGCUACGGUGAAUACGUUCCCGGGUCU